UGCAAGUCGAACGCGAAAGUCCCCUUCGGGGGACAAGUAGAGUGGCGUCCGGGUGAGUAACACGUAGGUAAUCUACCUUCGGGUGGGGAAUAACGCAGGGAAACUUGCGCUAAUACCGCAUAAUGCAGCGGCACCACAUGGUGACAGUUGUUAAAGCGGGGGAUUUUCGAACCUCGCGCCUGAAGAGGAGCCUGCGGCAGAUUAGCUAGUUGGUAAGGUAAUGGCUUACCAAGGCGACGAUCUGUAACCGGCCUGAGAGGGCGGUCGGUCACACUGACACUGACAUACGGGUCAGACUCCUACGGGAGGCAGCAGUCGGGAAUUUUGGGCAAUGGGCGAAAGCCUGACCCAGCAACGCCGCGUGAGGGAUGAAAUCCUUCGGGAUGUAAACUUCGCAAGAAUGGGAAGAAUGAGUAGGGGCUAAUACUCCCUAUGAUGACGGUACCAUUUGUAAGCUCCGGCUAACUCCGUGCCAGCAGCCGCGGUAAUACGGGGGGAGCAAGCGUUGUUCGGAUUUACUGGGCGUAAAGGGCGCGUAGGCGGCCAGCGCAAGUCAGUUGUGAAAUCUCCGGGCUUAACUCGGAACGGUCAACUGAUACUGCGCGGCUAGAGUGCGGAAGGGGCAACUGGAAUUCUCGGUGUAGCGGUGAAAUGCGUAGAUAUCGAGAGGAACACCUGCGGCGAAGGCGGGUUGCUGGGCCGACACUGACGCUGAUGCGCGAAAGCCAGGGGAGCGAACGGGAUUAGAUACCCCGGUAGUCCUGGCCUUAAACGAUGGAUGCUUGGUGUCUGGAGUUUUAUAGUCUCCGGGUGCCGCAGCUAACGCGUUAAGCAU
rnacentral:rRNA from 1 species